rnacentral:rRNA from 1 species
UACGUCGUGGGCAAGCGUUGUCCGGAUUUAUUGGGCGUAAAGAGCGUGUAGGCGGCCAGACCGGUCCGUUGUGAAAACUCGAGGCUCAACCUCGAGACGUCGACGGAAACCGUCUGGCUAGAGUCCGGAAGAGGAGUGUGGAAUUCCUGGUGUAGCGGUGAAAUGCGCAGAUAUCAGGAAGAACACCCGUGGCUAGGGCGGCUCUCUAGUACGGUACUGACGCUGAGACGCGAAAGCGUGGGGAGCGAACAGG